UCUUCGGACUUAGUGGCGGACGGGUGAGUAACACGUGGGANCGUGCCUUUAGGUUCGGAAUAACUCAGGGAAACUUGUGCUAAUACCGAANGUGCCCUUCGGGGGAAAGAUUUAUCGCCUUUAGAGCGGCCCGCGUCUGAUUANCUAGUUGGUGAGGUAAAGGCUCACCAAGGCGACNAUCAGUAGCUGGUCUGAGAGGAUGAUCANCCACAUUGGGACUGAGACACGGCCCAAACUCCUACGGGAGGCAGCAGUGGGGAAUCUUGCGCAAUGGGCGAAAGCCUGACGCAGCCAUGCCGCGUGAAUGAUGAAGGUCUUAGGAUUGUAAAAUUCUUUCNCCGGGGACNAUAAUGACGGUNCCCGGAGAAGAAGCCCCGGCUAACUUCGUGCCAGCAGCCGCGGUAAUACGAAGGGGGCUAGCGUUGCUCGGAAUUACUGGGCGUAAAGGGAGCGUAGGCGGACAUUUAAGUCAGGGGUGAAAUCCCGGGGCUCAACCUCGGAAUUGCCUUUGAUACUGGGUGUCUUGAGUGUGAGAGAGGUAUGUGGAACUCCGAGUGUAGAGGUGAAAUUCGUAGAUAUUCGGAAGAACACCAGUGGCGAAGGCGACAUACUGGCUCAUUACUGACGCUGAGGCUCNAAAGCGUGGGGAGCAAACAGGAUUAGANACCCUGGUAGUCCACGCC
rnacentral:rRNA from 1 species